rnacentral:rRNA from 1 species
CGUUCCCGGGCCUUGUACACACCGCCCGUCACACCACGAAAGUCGGCAAUACCCGAAGCCGGUGGGCUAACCCGUAAGGGAGGCAGCCGUCGAAGGUAGGGUGAUGAUUGGGGUG